rnacentral:rRNA from 1 species
UACGUAGGGUGCGAGCGUUGUCCGGAAUUACUGGGCGUAAAGAGCUCGUAGGUGGUUUGUCGCGUUGUCCGUGAAAACUCACAGCUUAACUGUGGGCGUGCGGGCGAUACGGGCAGACUGGAGUACUGCAGGGGAGACUGGAAUUCCUGGUGUAGCGGUGGAAUGCGCAGAUAUCGGGAAGAACACCGGUGGCGAAGGCGGGUCUCUGGGCCGUAACUGACGGCUGAGGAGCGAAAGCGUGGGGAGCGAACAGG